AAAUUCUUAACGGCCGCGGCACUAAAACCGUGCAAAGGUAGCACAAUCACUUGUCCCUUAAAUGAGGACCCGUAUGAAAGGCAACAUGAGAGAAGACCUGUCUCCUAAGGCCAGCCAAUGAAACUGAACUACCAGUACAAAAGCUGGUAUUUACAAGCAAGACAAAAAGACCCUAUGGAACUUUAACAAAUAUUUACAAAACAUAAAUUUAUAGUUUCAGUUGGGACAACUUUAAAGAAAAUUAACCUCUUACAACACACUAGACCAACAAGUCUAUAACCGACUCGACCCAGUCACACUGAUUAACGAAACAAGCUACCCUAGGGAUAACAGCGCUACCUUCUCAAAGAGUCCAUAUCAACAAGAAGAUCUACGACCUCGAUGUUGGAUCAGGGUACCCAGACGGUGCAGCAGCUGUCAAUGGUUCGUUUGUUCAACGACUAAUACCC
rnacentral:rRNA from 1 species